rnacentral:rRNA from 1 species
UACGUAGGUGGCAAGCGUUGUCCGGAUUUACUGGGUGUAAAGGGCGUGUAGGCGGAGCUGCAAGUCAGAUGUGAAAUCUCCGGGCUUAACCCGGAAACUGCAUUUGAAACUGUAGCCCUUGAGUAUCGGAGAGGCAAGCGGAAUUCCUAGUGUAGCGGUGAAAUGCGUAGAUAUUAGGAGGAACACCAGUGGCGAAGGCGGCUUGCUGGACGACAACUGACGCUGAGGCGCGAAAGCGUGGGGAGCAAACAGG